rnacentral:lncRNA from 1 species
GCAUUCCUGAAGCUGCAGAAGUGACAAAGGGUUGGGGGGUAUGACAACCUUUUAUUAUAUCCAUUGAUUAACACACCCCUUCCUCCUCUUCCCACCAACCUUCCCUCCCCCCAGCAAUCAAAGCAAAUAUUCCAUACCUACAGACAGUCUUCCAGGAUUUGUGUUCCCGAAUUAAUUAAUAAAAUAAACAUGAUAAUGAAUAAUCUAUGUUAAGCAUUUUCUUACCCUUUAUUUUUUCAUUAUGAUCAGAAGAGGAAUAUGAUUAACAGCAGUUUAAACUUUAGCAGUACAAUUUCAGUAUUAAAUAUAAAACUACACUGCAAGUUGAUGUAUUUUAAAAAUGGUUAUGUAUAUUCUAGCCUUAAGUUUAUGUAUCAAAUACAAGUAACUCAAUUGUUUCUUGCCUUGACAGUUAACAUAUCUAACAAAUUUCAGCAAGGGAGUGUAAAGAUUCAACACUUUCCUGAGUGUUGUGCAAAAGACAAGAUUUCUCUGCACACUCAGGCAGAAGUAGUAAUUAGUUCAGAGCAGCAACCAUUGAUGAAUGGAGACUUGCAUCUCUUCCAAGAGAUAGUUUCAAUACUCUCCAACACCAAAGGCAUAGCAAUUAAGGUUUGCAACUCCAGUUAUGUUUGGAAACAAACUUACAAUCAAGUAAUUAAGCUGUAG